rnacentral:lncRNA from 1 species
CCUGAGUCUCCCCGGGAUGCUGCAGUGAGGAGGCGGAGGGAACCGCUCUCCGCCACCGCAAACAAACAGCGCAGUCACUCAUUCACUGAGUCCCCAGACAGCCCCGGGACUGCAGCCAAGAAACCCGAGACACCUGCCCAGCUCUGUGUGUCCUGCUGCUGCCCUCCGGAGCCAACGGGGGAGAUGGAGAAAGGUGUGUGUAUGUGUGUGUGGGAGGGGUGCACUCAGGCGCUGCUGCUGUCUGAUUAGUAACCAGGAGAGGGGAGGAGGGGACAGACUUCAGAGGGAGAUUGU